AGAGCCACAUCAAGAAGGUCACCGGAAAUCUCAAUGCUAAAAAAGAUUUGACUUUUUUCUAAUUUUCUUAACUGGAAUUUACUAUGAAAAAUCGAAAAAUGGCAGCUCAAAUCAAACAUUUAGAUCUUCUCGGAGUUCCAUCACUCCCCUUUCUAGACCAUCAAGAACUCUCGUCAUCACUGCGGAGGAUGUGAGUGAUUUUGUGGCCUUGCGUCAAAGAGGGUUUCGAGCAGGGAUUGCCAUUCAGGAAGGCGUGCAAUCGCAGCAAUCCUGUGACUGAGUCGAGGCUGCGCAGUCGGUGUUUUGGUUCCGGGAGCCAUGUGAUGUUGUUGUUCUUGUGACCUGUGAGACGAUUUUGAAGCCACGCUUGAAGCUGAUCCUUCAAAAUGAGGAGAAGGAAUGAUUCAUUGCUUUUGUAUCAAAGGCUCAUCCCAGCAAUGACCCACGAAGAUGGCAAAGAAAAUAUAUGCAAAGCUUCAAGUUGAUUUCAGCUUGAAAAAGAGGGAGAGGUGCUGCAAAUUAGAUUUUCAUGGAACCGAAUCCAUUUUUUGGGAAGAUUUGGAGUCCAAAAUGGUAAAUCAAUCACAAACACGGAGGACAGAUGUGUUCAAUUUUAUGAGGAAGAAAUUCGUAAAUUAAGUGAACAACGUUAGCUGCUUGUGUGGAAACUUUUUUAACUUUUUUUAUUCUUAAGGAAAGCUUAGCUUUUAUGUAUGAGAUGGCUCAUCUUCAUGAAGACUCAUUACAUGAAUAUGAUGAACUAGAGCUUUGCUACCUAGAAGUAGGUUGGUUUGUUUUCCCUCUUCAGCAAUUGGAAAUUGCUUCUGCAUAUUAUAUACCAUUCUUGCCUUGUGUUGUUUUGAGAAACUGGUACUAUAUUAGAUGUUUCUCUUUGGAACUGCAACCAUAAAAUUGCUUGAUCAUACUAUACAACUGUAUUGUUCUUUAUUGACAUAGCUAACUUAGUUAGUGCUAUGCAGUAAGUAGUAAAUACACCUGUUAGACAGAGGGAUUUUGGAGGAUUGGAUCAUGGCGAUGAUCAGGCUGCCCUGCUGAAUUCUGUAUUCAAGCCAUUGACUUGUUAGAGAGUUUGAGUUUAGACAAUACCUCUUUGCAUGCCAAUCAAAGUUAUUAUUCAAACUUUCUUGGCCAGUUGAGGUUGCUGCAAGAGGCUAUGCAUUUAUCUUCAGUUUCUGAAAGACGCUAGCCUUGCAUGAGAGCAAGGUUGAGGGACAAGAUCCCACUUGUGAGUCCGAGACAAAGCAUCAAGUUCCUCGGCCAUGGCAGUCCGCCACUCAAGAAACAGAAUACUGUUGCCAAGUCCAGUGCUGAGGCUGAGUACUGGGGCACUUCAGAUUGCUACAGAUCCGGUCAAGCAUGAGCUGACCAAACACAUAGGUGUGGAUGCCCACUUCACUCGAUGUCAUGUACGUGCCCAGGCUGUGUCACUUCACUAUCUUCCUACAGAGGUCCAAGUGGCUGAUUUCUUUACCAAAGCACAGACGCGCGAUCAACAUCUAUUCAUGUUAUCCAAACUCAAGACGCAUGAUCCGCUUUGAGUUUGAGGGGGGGUGUUAAAUAUAUAUAUAUAUUUACCUCUGAUGUUGAGAAGGAGUUCUAUCGUCUGCAGUGUGAUCUUUAAACACUUUGUCUGAUUAAGUUUAUGAGACUCACUUAUCUGAUGGGGGUAUAAAGUGGAAAUAGAAAGAAGCCCAGCUAACAGGUUUUAUCUGGACCUUGAUUGAAAUAUUCUCUGUUCAGUGCCUUGUUAAGCAUCCUGGCCUAGGCCAGCAGCUUCGCCUGUAGUUUCCCCUGAUGCUUCAUCUGAAGUUCUUCCAAAGGAGAA